rnacentral:rRNA from 1 species
CCGGCACGGGUGAGUAACACGUAUCCAACCUGCCGUCUACUCUUGGACAGCCUUCUGAAAGGAAGAUUAAUACAAGAUGGCAUCAUGAGUCCACAUGUUCACAUGAUUAAAGGUACUCCGGUAGACGAUGGGGAUGCGUUCCAUUAGAUAGUAGGCGGGGUAACGGCCCACCUAGUCUUCGAUGGAUAGGGGUUCUGAGAGGAAGGUCCCCCACAUUGGAACUGAGACACGGUCCAA